rnacentral:rRNA from 1 species
AUGGCGGAGCUCGCGUCAGGCGCCGUGAGCUCGCUGCUGGGCGUCAUCCGCAACGAGGCGCUGCUGCUGGGCCGCGUCCGGCACGACGUGCAGUUCAUCCAGGAGGAGAUGGAGAGCAUGCAGAGCUUCUUGACCCACCUGUCAAAGAAGGCACCCACCGGUGGCGAGCACGACGAGCAGAUUCGCACGUGGAUGAACCAGGUCCGGCUGCUCGCCCAGGACAGCAACAACUGCAUCGAUCUGUAUCUGUACCGCGGCAACCCCGAGAUCCAUCUAGCCAGGGGCGGCCUCCGGCGGUACAUCGCGUGGCUUCCCUGGUUUGUGCACAAGAUGGUGGCGCAGCAUCGUGCGGCUAUUCAGCUGCGUGCGCUCAGGGAACGGGCGCGUGACAUCGGUGAGCGGCGAUUGAGGUACGGUGUUGAGGUCCCAGCGAAAGGGGCGGGAGUGGGGCAGUCGCCUGCAGGGGCUGGUCCCACGCUGGCAGCGAUUGGUUCGCCAGUUGUGCAUGUAGCCUCAACAUCUAAUGCUUCAGGAGGUGAAGAGGAUGACAGUGACGAUCAAGACGUCAUGGCGUUGGUGGUGACAAAUCGCUCUCAUCCAAGAGGGGCGUGUUUUGAGCCUCGUACGCCAGAGGAGAAUGUUAGGGUGAAGCUAGCGGAAUGGAUACAGAAUGUUGCACAAUGCAACACUGUUAAGGGGGGAUCAGUACCAUCCGUGGCCAUUGUGGCACCGGAUAAGCAUGAAACCCUUGCUAUUGCAAAGGAAGCUUCAGCCAUGUGGAAAAAAUGCAGUGUCUUGGUCGACAUCCCAGCGGUACACUUCUAUUCUCGUGCCCUAAGAACUGAGGAUAUCUUGUACUAUAUACUGCGAGAACUUCAGCUCGCAAAAUCCCAACCCCAGCAGCAGGAAGUUCAAGGUGGGGGGGAUGAGGAUAUCAACAAAACAAAAAGGGAAAUUCUCUCCCAAAAAGGGGAGGUUGUGAGAGAAAUCACAAAAAUUAUCCAAGGAAUGAAGGUUAACAAGAAGAUUUCAGAAAUCAAGAGCACUCUUCAAAACAUGAAGGACAACCAGCUGCAACUCAAUUUGACAGAAAUGAGUAAGGAUGAGCUGGGCCUGCUGGAAUCCGCAAAAGAUGAACCCUUGGGCAUAUUCCUCCGAGCAUUGUGGCUGCUAAAGCUCAAGCCAGCUAAAGGUGCCCCUGCACACAAACAAGUCCAAGAAAGGAAGGGAGAGACACGUUCACGCGACGAUGUCAUUAAAGAAACAGCUAAGAUGCUUAAAAAGCAUAUGGAAAUACACGCAGAAGAUGAAAAAGAAGAACCACACACAAAGCAGAUUCUUCUCAAGGAAGCCCAGUAUGAAGACCUCUUACGUGAAGUGUUCCCCCCCGUGACCAUCAGGAAGGACCCGCAGAACCAGGAGGAAGACUCCAAGCAAGCCACAGCCAUCAACACCACCGCUGGCACUACAAUUAUAUUGGUCGAGGACCAAUUCAAAGAUAUGAUCCGCAAGAUACUGCAGGAGCUGCAGGAAGACAAAUCCAUGAAGAACAAGAAAUUAGAUACAACUGAGCUGCGGGAAGACAUAUCUCUGAAGGACAAAAAAAUAGAUACAACUGAGCUGCAGGAAGACAAAUCAGAGAAGAAACUAGAUACAACUGAGCUGCAAGAAGUAAAAUCCAUGAAGAAACCAAGUCAAGAUUUUAUACUGGAUGCUCUUAUUGAAGAAACCAUGGAGAGGUUUUGGGAAAUCGAGUGGGAGAUGAAUCAACAGCUCGUCAUCAAAGGGAUCAUGGACAAAAUUAGGGAUUGUUUUGAUAGAAAAGGUGAUGAGAUAAUCCUAGUUAUCCUCAAACUCGAUUAUGACUGGGUAUCCGGAUGGGAGGAGACCAAAAAGGCUUUCAGCAUUUUUGGUUGCAUAGCUGGUGCACUGAUGUUGACCUUUGAAGAAAACAGAACACGAGCAAAAGGAUAUUGUUGUCCGUCGCGGGAGCCUAUAGACUAUUCUGUUCUUGGGCUCUACCAUGAUAUCACACUCGAGCUUACAAACCAGCAGAUGAAUAAAGAGAGCGCCCAGAUUUUUCUCGGCAUCUUGGAGAACUGUCACCAACAUGAAUUCUGCAUGAAGAUCUUCGUUCAUGCUUUGUACGCCAACCCCAAGAGGAGUGAUGAAGAACUAAGCAAGUUGCACAGAACCCUGCAGAAGGUUAUAGACAAAUCAUUGGACAAAAUUGCUAAGAAGAUACUCAAGUUCUCUUAUAGUGAUAUGCCUAAAGAAUACAAGUCUUGUUUGAUGUACCUAGCAAUUUUCCCUAGACGACAACCCAUCAGGCGGUCAACCUUGAUAGGACGGUGGGUUGUCGAAGGGCUGAUAACCAAGGAAGACUGGGCCAGUUCUGUGCGUCAUGCCAGUCGAUGUUUUGAUGCGUUGAUCAAUCGGUGGCUUGUUUAUCCUGCCGAUAUUGGGGCUACAGGAAAGAUAAAGAGUUGUGUGAUAGGUGAUCUUGUUCAUGAAUUCAUUACCAAGAUCGCUAGAAAGCGGCGCAUUGUGGAAACACGCCUGUCACAUCACUUGGCUCUCCGCUUCUCCAUUUUCAAUGACCUCCGACUCCGUGGCUCGGAUAAAAUAGAUAGAUUCUUCGAAAAGCUCCAUGAAGAAUCAUCUCGAGUAUCCCUGAUCAAGGUGCUAGAUCUCCAAGAUUGCCAGUGCUUUGGACGGAAGAAUCAAAUCUACCUCAGGGACAUAUGCAGCAAGAUGUUACUGCUCAAGUAUCUGAGCCUAAGGGGAACAGAUGUUACCCAGCUGCCGACUGAAAUCAAUAACCUCCGUGAGCUAGAAGUAUUGGAUAUCCGAGAAACAUAUGUGCCUCCAUCUGCAACAGUAAAUGUCUUACUCCUGAAGUUGAAGCGUUUGCUGGCUGGUCGCAUUGUUCCAAGUUCGGGGGUAAGUAGUACUGAACUAUUUAGUGUUGAGAUCCCUGAUAAGGUCGAAAAAAUGGUAAACAUGGAGGUAUUGUCCAAUGUCAAGGCACGGACGAGACAAGAUAUGAAAGAUAUUGGAAAGUUGUGGCAGCUCAGGAAGCUUGGUGUGGUUAUUCAAUACAAGGAGCCACACCUCAGGAAUUUUCUUCGAGCUAUCAGUGAUCUGCAUGAGUGCCUGAAGUCUCUGUCAAUCACUCUUCCCAAUAUAGAGGACAACAAAGAGAUCAGAGAUUGGGUUCUUGAACACUAUAAAAACUCUCCCAAGCUUCUCGAGAGCCUAAGCAUUACUGGAACCACACAAACAGUGCAACUUCUUCGGUUGUUGACCAGAGAUAUUGACCAACUCCAACUUCGCAAGGUAACUCUAUCUGGUACCCGGCUGUAUCAGCCUGAUCUGAAGGUCCUUGGCAAGCUUCCCAAAUUAAUAUGUCUCAGGCUCCGAGAUAACGCAUACAUCGAUAGCAACCUCACCUUCAACAAUGAUGAAUUCGAAAAUCUCAAGUGCUUUCUUAUUGAGGGUUCCAACAUAACUGCCCUCAGCUUUGGAGGUGGAGCACAUAAACUCGAGAAAAUCGUGUUGUGCUCCACCGAUGGACUGUCAAUUUCUGGAGUCGAAGACCUUCUGGAACUGAAGGAUGUCGAGUUGAAGAACAGCAAUAAGUUAUCAUUGUUUGACAAGGCCAAAAACAUAUCCAAGGUGACUCUUUGGCAUACCUCUCUGAGUCAAUAUGAGGUAGAGAUUCUCGCCAAGAUACCUAACAUGCGCAACCUAGUACUCAAGGACAUAUUUUGUGUACAAAGCCAGCUUAUCUUAUACAAAGAUGACUUCCCAAAGCUCAACCUUCUUACAGUCGACUUCUCUGUCACCCCCAAGACUAUCAUUACCGACGGAUCAGCUCCUAAGCUCGAGAAAAUCAUCUGGUCCUUCACAAAGGACACGGUGGGUACUCUCUCCAUCUCCGGCACUGACAUCCUUCCAAACCUGAAGGAGCUCGAGAUCAAUGGUGAUUUUAUCCCUAGGGAGGUGGAAGAAGCAUUGAAGAAACACAAGAACAAACCCAAGUUUACAUACAACAAACCGGAAAACCAAUACCAGGAAGCCGGAAACAUACCAGAAAAGAAAGAUCCUCCAAGAUUCUCAUUUUUGAGGAAGAAAGAAGAUUGA